rnacentral:rRNA from 1 species
AUUGAACGCUGGCGGCAGGCCUAACACAUGCAAGUCGAAUGGUAACAGGAAACAGCUUGCUGUUUCGCUGACGAGUGGCGGACGGGUGAGUAAUGUCUGGGAAACUGCCUGAUGGAGGGGGGUAACUACUGGAAACGGUAGCUAAUACCGCAUAACGUCGCAAGACCAAAGAGGGGGACCUUCGGGCCUCUUGCCAUCAGAUGUGCCCAGAUGGGAUUAGCUAGUAGGUGGGGUAACGGCUCACCUAGGCGACGAUCCCUAGCUGGUCUGAGAGGAUGACCAGCCACACUGGAACUGAGACACGGUCCAGACUCCUACGGGAGGCAGCAGUGGGGAAUAUUGGACAAUGGGCGCAAGCCUGAUGCAGCCAUGCCGCGUGUAUGAACAAGGCCUUCGGGUUGUAAAGUACUUUCAGCGGGGAGGAAGGGAGUAAAGUUAAUACCUUUGCUCAUUGACGUUACCCGCAGAAGAAGCACCGGCUAACUCCGUG